UGGGGAAUAUUGCACAAUGGGCGCAAGCCUGAUGCAGCAACGCCGCGUGAGGGACGACGGCCUUCGGGUUGUAAACCUCUUUUGGCAGGGUAGAAGCGAAAGUGACGGUACCUGCAGAAAAAGCACCGGCUAACUACGUGCCAGCAGACGCGGUGAUACGUAGGGUGCAAGCGUUGUCCGGAAUUAUUGGGCGUAAAGAGCUCGUAGGCGGUUUGUCGCGUCUGCUGUGAAAACCCGAGGCUCAACCUCGGGCCUGCAGUGGGUACGGGCAAACUAGAGUGCGGUAGGGGAGAUUGGAAUUCCUGGUGUAGCGGUGGAAUGCGCAGAUAUCAGGAGGAACACCGAUGGCGAAGGCAGAUCUCUGGGCCGUAACUGACGCUGAGGAGCGAAAGCAUGGGGAGCGAACA
rnacentral:rRNA from 1 species